rnacentral:misc_RNA from 1 species
UUUCCGUAGGUGAACCUGCGGAAGGAUCAUUCAUAAUAAAGUGUUUUAUGGCACUUUUUAAAAUCCAUAUCCACCUUGUGUGCAAUGUUAGAUCUCGUCAAUCUUGGCGAGAUUUUUAUACAUCAACUCAUUCUUUAACUAAUUUGACUGAAAAAUAUUAUGAAUACUUAAUUCAAAAUACAACUUUCAACAACGGAUCUCUUGGCUCUC